GCCUUCGUGGUGUAGUGGUCUGCAUGCUAGACCCAUAAUCGAGAGGUCCGUGGUUCGAUUCCCGGCGAAGGCG
rnacentral:tRNA from 1 species